CACAAAAGCACAUGUAUUUUUAGUCAUUUGCUCAUUCAUUCAGCAAUAAUUUACUGGGCGCCUACCAGGCUCGAGGCUGGGCAGGGGCUAAGGACAGAGAGAAGAAUUUGACCCAGUUCCUGGCCCUCAAGACUCUUCAGUUUUGUGCUGACAUGUAAACAAAUCCCCAUGAUAGAGAGGGUAGGGAGCUCAAGUAUUUACAACUAGUGUGGAGCUGGGCGUGGCCACUCUCCUUGGAACAGAGGAGGAGUAGCUGUGAGUUCAUUCGCUGUCUCACACCCAGACAGCUGACUCAUUCAUUCAUACACCAACUCAUUCACUAGUUCAGCCACUCAUUCACAAGAAUACAAUUUACUCUUUAAUUGUAGACUUGCUGACAGAUUUGCUACCUAAUCAAUUCUUUUAUUCCUUAAUUAUGUGAUGCUCAUUCGUCUGCCUAUUGGCCUUUCAUUCACUUAUUCACUUAUCAUUUCGUUCAGUUACACAUGCAGUUGUAAUAGUGAUUUCCUUCCUUUCAUUUUUUUUUCAGACCAUCAAGCAUCCGUCAAUAGGUCAUUUAUCCAUUCAUUAAUUCAUCCAUUCAUCUGGGCCAACAGUGGCUCCUCUCAUGAACGGACCCAAAUGCUGACUCAUUACUUCCUUUAUUCCUUUAUUAGAAAUGAAGAUCUACUUAUCCAUCCAUUCAUAAAACCAUUCAGGAAUUCACAGAAUGACCAAUACACUCAAGAGUACGCAUUCACUUCUUCAAGGCUGAGCCACUGGGACUAACCUUCAUCAAACCAUCAAAACUAUGAGGAGAAGUUUGGGCAGAUCUCACAUCAUCGCGAGCAAGUGAAGGGCUGGAAACCAUUGGAGGUGAAUAGAUACCUUGGGAAAGUCCAUUCUAAGGAAGACAGAGGAGAGCACAGGACAAAACAAUGACACCAUUGCUAUCAACUGUCAUGUAUCCACUUAUCUUCUCUGUUGGAUCUUGGUGUUUCAGACUCGAAGUCAUCAUGUAUGAGUCAAAUGCCACCGGUGGUCAUCAUCAACCAAGAUUAGUUCUCCUUUUCUUAAAAUAUUUACACUAUCGCUAUUAAUUACUUAAUUAUCAUAAACCCUAUGCUUAGAAACUACCAACC
rnacentral:lncRNA from 1 species